GAUGAACGCUGGCGGCGUGCCUAAUACAUGCAAGUCGAGCGAACGGACGAGAAGCUUGCUUCUCUGAUGUUAGCGGCGGACGGGUGAGUAACACGUGGAUAACCUACUUAUAAGACUGGGAUAACUUCGGGAAACCGUAGCUAAUACCGGAUAAUAUUUUGAACCGCAUGGUUCAAAAGUGAAAGACGGUCUUGCUGUCACUUUUAGAUGGAUCCGCGCUGCAUUAGCUAGUUGGUAAGGUAACGGCUUACCAAGGCAACGAUGCAUAGCCGACCUGAGAGGGUGAUCGGCCACACUGGAACUGAGACACGGUCCAGACUCCUACGGGAGGCAGCAGUAGGGAAUCUUCCGCAAUGGGCGAAAGCCUGACGGAGCAACGCCGCGUGAGUGAUGAAGGUCUUCGGAUCGUAAAACUCUGUUAUUAGGGAAGAACAUAUGUGUAAGUAACUGUGCACAUCUUGACGGUACCUAAUCAGAAAGCCACGGCUAACUACGUG
rnacentral:rRNA from 1 species